rnacentral:rRNA from 1 species
CCCUUAGAUGUUCUGGGCUGCACGCGCGCUACACUGACAUACUCAGCAAGUUUCCUUUCCCGAAAGGGUUGGGUAAUCUUGUUAGUGUAUGUCGUGAUGGGGAUAGAAUAUUGUAAUUAUUGCUCUUUAACGAGGAAUUCCUAGUAAGCGCAAGUCAACAGCUUGCGCUGAUUACGUCCCUGCCCUUUGUACACACCGCCCGUCGCUCCUACCGAUUGGGUGGUCCGGUGAAUGGUUCGGACUCUGGCUAUGCUAGCUACUAGUUACGUCAGGGAAAGUUCUGUGAACCUUAUCACUUGGAGGAAGGAGAAGUCGUAACA